rnacentral:rRNA from 1 species
UACGGAGGGUGAGAGCGUUAAUCGGAAUUACUGGGCGUAAAGCGCACGCAGGCGGUUUGUUAAGCUAGAUGUGAAAGCCCCGGGCUCAACCUGGGAUGGUCAUUUAGAACUGGCAGACUAGAGUCUUGGAGAGGGGAGUGGAAUUCCAGGUGUAGCGGUGAAAUGCGUAGAUAUCUGGAGGAACAUCAGUGGCGAAGGCGUCUCCCUGGCCAAAGACUGACGCUCAUGUGCGAAAGUGUGGGUAGCGAACAGG